AUGCAUCUUAGACCUCAAAAAUGCAGAGGUCAAGCCACAGUAACUCAGACUCCUGCAGUGAAAUCUGCUCUUCCAGGAGAAACAGUCACCAUCAACUGUAGAACCAGUCAGGCAGUAACUUCUGGUAACUACUUAUACUGGUAUCAGCAGAAACCUGGAGAAGCUCCUAAACUCCUGAUUAAAUUUGCGAAUCAGCUACAGUCAGGCUUUCCAGCUCGUUUCAGUGGCAGUGGAUCUGGAUCUGAUUUCACUCUGACCAUCAGUGGAGUCCAAACUGAAGAUGCAGGAGAUUAUUACUGUCUGAGUCACCACAGUGGUGUUUUCUUUGUCACUCUGGUGUUUAAACUCAGUGAUGUUUCAGUAAAACUGUCUGACUCUGGAGCACAGUGUACUGUACACACUGCAGGAGACUGGAGGAGAAAUAACACCAAAUGA